rnacentral:rRNA from 1 species
UAGUCAUAUGCUUGCUCUAAAGAUUAAGCCAUGCAUGUAUCAGUUCACACCCUAGUACGGUGAAACCGCGAAUGGCUCAUUAAAUCAGCUAUGGUUCCUUAGAUCUUACAUCCUACUUGGAUAACUGUGGUAAUUCUAGAGCUAAUACAUGCCUUUAGGCCAUGGGUAGCAAUACCUAUGGUGGAUUUAUUAGAACAAAACUAUACCACCUUCGGGUGUUAGUUUGAUGACUCUGGAUAACUGUUCUGAUCGCACGGCCUAGCGCUAGCGACGUAUCUUUCAAGUGUCUGCCCUAUCAACUAUGGAUGGUAGGUUAUAUGCCUACCAUGGUUAUAACGGGUAACGGGGAAUCAGGGUUCGAUUCCGGAGAGGGAGCCUUAGAAAUGGCUACCACAUCUAAGGAAGGCAGCAGGCGCGCAAAUUACCCACUCUCGGCUAGAGGAGGUAGUGACGGAAAAUAACAAUACGGGACUCAUUGAGGCCCCGUAAUUGGAAUGAGAACACUUUAAAUCGGUUAUCGAGUACCAAUUGGAGGGCAAGUCUGGUGCCAGCAGCCGCGGUAACUCCAGCUCCAAUAGCGUAUAUUAAAGCUGCUGCAGUUAAAAAGCUCGUAGUUGGAUCUCAGGCAAGGAUCCGGUGGUUCGCUUCACAGCGCUUCUGCUGGUUUCCGCCUAAUCAGCUGAUAGUUAUUUGUGGUGCUCUUCACCGGGUGCCGCAGAUGCUCAGCACGUUUACUUUGAACAAAUUAGAGUGCUCAAAGCAGGCCUUGUGCUUGAAUACUUAUGCAUGGAAUAAUGGAAUAGGACUUCGUUUCUAUUUUGUUGGUUUUCGGAUACGAAGUAAUGAUUAAAAGAGACAGACGGGGGCAUCUGUAUGGCGGUGUUAGAGGUGAAAUUCUAUGAUCGCCGCCAGACAAACAACUGCGAAGGCAUUUGCCAAGGAUGUUUUCAUUAAUCAAGAACGAAAGUCAGAGGUUCGAAGAGGAUCAGAUACCCUCGUAGUUCUGACCAUAAACGAUGCCAACUGACGAUCGGGGUUUUAUUACAAUAUUUACCCCGGCAGUCCCUGGGAAACCUUCAAGUCUACAGGUUCUGGGGGAAGUAUGGUUGCAAGGCUGAAACUUAAAGGAAUUGACGGAAGGGCACCACCAGGAGUGGAGCCUGCGGCUUAAUUUGACUCAACACGGGAAAACUCACCCGGCCCGGACACUGUGAGGAUUGACAGAUUGAUAGCUCUUUCUUGAUUCAGUGGGUGGUGGUGCAUGGCCGUUCUUAGUUGGUGGAGUGAUUUGUCUGGUUAAUUCCGAUAACGAACGAGACUCUAGCCUGCUAAAUAGUUCACGCAUGCCGAGCAGUGCUUGUGAACUUCUUAGAGGGAUUCGCUAGUUAUAAAUAGCACGAAAUUGAGCAAUAACAGGUCUGUGAUGCCCUUAGAUGUCCGGGGCUGCACACGCGCUACACUGACGAUGCCAGCGAGUCACAUCCUGACCUGAGAGGGUCGGGAAAUCUUCUGAAUCAUCGUCAUGUCAGGGAUUGGGGCUUGCAAUUAUUCCCCAUGAACGAGGAAUUCCCAGUAAGCGCAAGUCAUAAGCUUGUGCUGAUUACGUCCCUGCCCUUUGUACACACCGCCCGUCGCUACUACCGAUUGAAUGGUUUGGUGAGGCGUUUGGAUUGGGCCUAUCAGAGCGUGG